GUGCAAAUUGGGACGCAUGCAGCCAGUCUUCUUUUUGAUAAGGAUGUGUGUAAAGGAAGGGAAGGCCAGUCUAUAGUGUAUGUGUCCCUUCCAGGUAGAAGUGAAGAAAUCCUCAAGGAGAAUUCCCUUCCAGGAAGACGUGAAGAAAUCCUCAAGGAGAAUUCCCUUCCAGGAAGACGUGAAGAAAUCCUCAAGGAGAAUUCCCUUCCAGGUAGACGUGAAGAAAUCCACAGAAGGGCAGGUGAUGGGCAGGUGAUGGGCAGGUGAUGGGCAGGUGAUGGGCAGGUGAUGGGCUUGUCAGAUGUACAAUGUACAUUGUAGAGAGAAAACUGUCACCGAUCAAAAGGGCAGGUUCUCCAGCACCCCUACAGCCCAAUCUGUGCACGUGCCUGGGUGAAGGACAGCUUUCCCUCCAUAUAGAGAGGCUCCUGAACCACCCCUCCCCCCAAAAAGAUGAGAUCAAAUCAAACAAUUUAAUCAAAUGUGUAUCUACAGUAUAAAUAA
ensembl:lncRNA